GCGGCCACUGCUAUCAGGUUUCGACUAAGCCAUGCGAGUCAAGGGGUCGUAAGACACCGGCGUACUGCUCAGUAACACGCGGACAAUCUACCCCCAGGUGGAGGAUAACCUCGGGAAACUGAGGCUAAUACCCCAUAGUUGUCAUGUGCUGGAAUGCUUUGACGAUGAAAGAAUUUCGCCUGAGGAUGAGUCUGCGGCCUAUCAGGUAGUAUGUGGUGUAAAGGACCACAUAGCCUAAGACGGGUACGGGCCUUGAAAGAGGGAGCCCGGAGAUGGACUCUGAGACACUAGUCCAGGCCCUACGGGGCGCAGCAGGCGCGAAAACUGUGCAAUGCGCGCAAGCGCGACACGGGAAGCCUGAGUGCCUUAACUAUGUUAAGGCUUUUCUUGAUCCUAAAAAGCUCAAGGAAUAAGAGCUGGGUAAGACGGGUGCCAGCCGCCGCGGUAACACCCGCGGCUCGAGUGGUAGUCACUUUUAUUGAGCCUAAAGCGUUUGUAGCCGGAUUUGUAAAUCUCUAGGAAAAUACUUCUGCUUAACUGAAGAAAUUUUGGAGAGACUGCAAAUCUAGGGACCGGGUGAGGUUGAAUGUACUUCUGGGGUAGGGGUAAAAUCCUGUAAUCCUGGAAGGACGACCGGUGGCGAAGGCGUUCAACUAGAACGGAUCCGACGGUGAGGAACGAAGGCUAGGGGAGCAAACCGGAUUAGAUACCCGGGUAGUCCUAGCUGUAAACACUGCCCACUUGGUGUUGCAUCUCCGGUAAGGGGGUGCAGUGCCGUAGCGAAGGUGUUAAGUGGGCCGCUUGGGGAGUAUGGUCGCAAGGCUGAAACUUAA
rnacentral:rRNA from 1 species